rnacentral:rRNA from 1 species
UACGGGGGGAGCAAGCGUUGUUCGGAUUUACUGGGCGUAAAGGGCGCGUAGGCGGUCAGCACAAGUCAGUUGUGAAAUCUCCGAGCUUAACUCGGAAAGGUCAACUGAUACUGUGCGACUAGAGUGCGGAAGGGGCAACUGGAAUUCUUGGUGUAGCGGUGAAAUGCGUAGAUAUCAAGAGGAACACCUGCGGCGAAGGCGGGUUGCUGGGCCGACACUGACGCUGAAGCGCGAAAGCGUGGGGAGCGAACAGG